CCUACGGGUGGCAGCAGUGGGGAAUAUUGGACAAUGGGGGGAACCCUGAUCCAGCCAUGCCGCGUGUGUGAAGAAGGCCCUCGGGUUGUAAAGCACUUUCAGUGAGGAAGAACGCCUGGUGGUUAAUACCCAUCAGGAAAGACAUCACUCACAGAAGAAGCACCGGCUAACUCCGUGCCAGCAGCCGCGGUAAUACGGAGGGUGCGAGCGUUAAUCGGAAUUACUGGGCGUAAAGCGCGCGUAGGUGGCUUGAUAAGCCGGUUGUGAAAGCCCCGGGCUCAACCUGGGAACGGCAUCCGGAACUGUCAAGCUAGAGUGCAGGAGAGGAAGGUAGAAUUCCCGGUGUAGCGGUGAAAUGCGUAGAGAUCGGGAGGAAUACCAGUGGCGAAGGCGGCCUUCUGGACUGACACUGUCACUGAGGUGCGAAAGCGUGGGUAGCAAACAGGAUUAGAUACCCUAGUAGUC
rnacentral:rRNA from 1 species